rnacentral:rRNA from 1 species
AUUGAACGCUGGCGGCAGGCCUAACACAUGCAAGUCGAGCGAGCGGCGGACGGGUGAGUAAUGUCUGGGAAACUGCCUGAUGGAGGGGGGUAACUACUGGAAACGGUAGCUAAUACGGCAUACCAUCAGAUGUGCCCAGAUGGGAUUAGCUAGAAGGGGGGGUAACGGCUCACAUAGGCGACGAUCCCUAGCUGGUCUGAGAGGAUGACCAGCCACACUGGAACGGAGACACGGUCCAGACUCCUACGGGAGGCAGCAGUGGGGAAUAUUGCACAAUGGGCGCAAGCCUGAUGCAGCCAUGCCGCGUGUGUGAAGAAGGCCUUCGGGUUGUAAAGCACUUUUGGCAGGAAAGCGGUACCUGCACAAGAAGCACCGGCUAACUCCGUGCCAGCAGCCGCGGUAAUAC